rnacentral:piRNA from 1 species
UGAAAUCUGUUAAAACUGUUUGAGAGAA